UAGGGUAAUAUGAAUUCGUGC
rnacentral:siRNA from 1 species